GACGAACGCUGGCGGCGUGCUUAACACAUGCAAGUCGAACGGAAAGGCCCUGCUUUUGUGGGGUGCUCGAGUGGCGAACGGGUGAGUAACACGUGAGUAACCUGCCCUUGACUUUGGGAUAACUUCAGGAAACUGGGGCUAAUACCGGAUAGGAUCUCCUGCUGCAUGGUGGGGGUUGGAAAGUUUCGGCGGUUGGGGAUGGACUCGCGGCUUAUCAGCUUGUUGGUGGGGUAGUGGCUUACCAAGGCUUUGACGGGUAGCCGGCCUGAGAGGGUGACCGGCCGCAUUGGGACUGAGAGACGGCCCAGACGCCUACGGGAGGCAGCAGUGGGGAAUAUUGCACAAUGGGCGGAAGCCUGAUGCAGCAACGCCGCGUGCGGGAUGACGGCCUUCGGGUUGUAAACCGCUUUCGCCUGUGACGAAGCGUGAGUGACGGUAAUGGGUAAAGAAGCACCGGCUAACUACGUG
rnacentral:rRNA from 1 species